rnacentral:rRNA from 1 species
GCCCAGACUCCUACGGGCGGCAGCAGUGAGGCCUCUUGGUCAAUGGGCGCCAGCCUGACCCAGCAACGCCGCGUGAAGGAAGAAGGCUUUCGGGUUGGAAACUUCUUUUGUCAGGGACGAAGCAAGUGACGGUACCUGACGAAUCAGCCACGGCUAACUACGUGCCAGCAGCCGCGGUAAUACGUAGGUGGCAAGCGUUAUCCGGAUUUAUUGGGGGUCAAGGGCGUGGAGGCGGGAAUGCAAGUCAGAUGUGAAAACGUGGGGCUCAACCCAGAGCCUGCAGGGGAAACUGGAUGGCGGGAGGGCGGGAGAGGCAAGCGGAAUUCCGUGGGGAGCGGUGAAAUGCGGAGAGAUACGGAGGAACACCAGUGGCGAAGGCGGCCUGCUGGACAGGAACUGACGCGGAGGCGCGAAAGCGGGGGGAGCAAACAGGAGGAGAUACCCCCGGAUU